rnacentral:lncRNA from 1 species
GGCCAUUUUGGUCAUUUUGCGCUCAGUAAUAAAUAAAAAAAAAGGAAAAAAAAGGUCACCCUAUAAUAGGGGCAAGAGCAACAAAACCCCUGCAAAAAAGUAAUAAAUAAAUAAAAAGGGAGAGUAGGGGGGUUCUGAUCAUUUUGCACUCAGGGGUAGUUUGGUCAUUUAAUAUCCAAAAGGCAUUAUGGUCAUUCUGCCAUCCUUAGAAAUAAGGGGCAAUACUAAUCACUCACAAUUACCCUCAAAAAGAAGAAAUUACACUCAGGGGUUUUCUGGUCAUUUUGUGCUUAGGAGUAUUUUGGCCAUUCUACCCUCAAGGCCCUUUUUCAUAGUCUGAAGCAAGAAAAGAUGAUAAAGAAACUUUUGACCCGAACACAUGAACUGAGAGACUUUGUUUAGCACAAGAAGUUAGGAUUCAAUCCAACUCUUGACCAUUCAAGCAUUUAACCAAACUCUUUACAAGCAUCUCAAAAGCAAUUUCAAGAGUAGAAUCCACAUAUGUUCGGUCAAUCUUUCGAAAAAAUGUCCAACCACAAUAGAAAUAUUCCAUGAAACCUUUACAAAUCAUAUUCUACUUUGAUAUUUGGGGGAAGGAAAUCAUCAUUUUUACUGAGCCAAAAGUGGCAUGCCACUUUCAAAACAACCCAAAGAGAGGACAACCCCAAUUUUCACUAAGCCAUUUCAACAAACAUAUCAUGGUUAUAUUCAAGCAUUCUUUGAAGCAAAAAAAUUGGCAUUAAAAUAAGUUUUUUACCAAAAGUGAAAACAUGAUAAUCAAAAUUUUUUAAGUGAAUUACAAAAUUUAAACAAGUUUCUCAAAAUUUGAAAAAAGAAAACCAUUGUUUUACUAUGCCAAAAUUAGUGGCACGCCAACUCAAACACCACCCAAAUGGAACUAAGCUAAUAUUCAGUAAGACAUUUCAUCAAACAUAUCAAAAGCAUGCACGUGUACCUUCUCUUGGUGUUUUGACUUGGAAAUAUGAUCCAAGCCAAGCGUCCAUUGACGCUCUCAGCGUUCCAUUUUCGACCACCUAUGAAUGAAAUAAGAUUGCAAUGAGGGAGUUUGAUGUAGAGAGGGAAAGUGGAGAAAGAAAGAUAGAAGCUUAGAGAGAGAAAGAUGGGAGGAUCAACAGAGAGUAUGUAUUUGUGGUUAAUUUAAAAAGGAAUGGGUCCCUCUCAUGGCUUCAAUUUCAGCAGCUAACUCUCUUCGAUUUCUUUUCACAGUGCUUCUUCUCUCAAAAAAUCCUCAUCAGUGUAAGGAAAACAUCAAUUAGCAAUGCAUCCCAAGUAAAACGGGCCUAAUUUGGAGUUCUCCUAGAGUGAGUAGAAUAAAAAAUCUAAUUGUGGCUUUGACUUGGAGAAAUUCCAUCUUCAUAAGUG